rnacentral:rRNA from 1 species
GACGAACGCUGGCGGCGUGCUUAACACAUGCAAGUCGAGGGCACUUUGAGGGCAACCCUGGAGUGACCGGCGAACGGGUGCGUAACACGUGAGCGACCUUGCCUCGUGGUGGGGGAUAGCCGGCCCAACGGCCGGGUAAUACCGCAUAUGGUGCUGACUCCGCAUGGAGACGGCAGCAAAGCCCUGGAGCAAUCCAGUGGCGCCACAGGGGGGC